rnacentral:rRNA from 1 species
CACGUAGGGCGCGAGCGUUGUCCGGAAUUAUUGGGCGUAAAGAGCUCGUAGGCGGCCUGUUGCGUCCGCUGUGAAAGCCCGGGGCUUAACCCCGGGUCGGCAGUGGAUACGGGCAGGCUAGAGGUAGGUAGGGGAGAAUGGAAUUCCUGGUGUAGCGGUGAAAUGCGCAGAUAUCAGGAGGAACACCGGUGGCGAAGGCGGGACUCUGGGCCGAUACUGACGCUGAGGAGCGAAAGCGUGGGGAGCGAACAGG